UACGUAGGAAGCAAGCGUUGUCCGGAAUCACUGGGCGUAAAGCGCGUGUAGGCGGACCGGCAAGUCUGCUGUGAAAGCGCCUGGCUUAACCGGGCGAGGUCGGCGGAAACUGCCGGACUGGAGGACAGUAGAGGGGGGUGGAAUUCCCGGUGUAGUGGUGAAAUGCGUAGAGAUCGGGAGGAACACCUGUGGCGAAGGCGGCCCCCUGGGCUGCACCUGACGCUGAGACGCGAAGGCCAGGGAGCGAA
rnacentral:rRNA from 1 species